rnacentral:lncRNA from 1 species
UUUAAAUUAUUUUCACUCUUCUCUUUAUUGCCACCUCCUCCUCCUGGAGAUCACAGCUAAUGUCACCUUUACCAUCUCCUCCACUGGGUAGAGCCUGGACAUCUGGCACCUGGGCACUGGUCCUGCCUGGGCACUGCCACUUCCAUUCUCAUGACAGGAGCAAAGUGCCUGCCCUGUGGAGUGCCUUGACACUUUACCCCAAUAGCACGCUUAACACAAAGGAUCUCAGAGUGUCUUGGGGAAGAUGUGAUCUGUGCCAAGCUCAGUCCUUUUCCUGGACCCUCUGCAGAGAAGCCAGGGCAUUCUCCAGCCUGUGCUAGAAAUGCGACAAGCUCAGGAAUUAAGGUGCAGGAGUUCCCGCCAUGGCUCAGUGGUUAACAAACUCAAUUAGUAUCCAUGAGGACAUGGGUUCAAUCCCUGGCCUUGCUCAGCGGGUUGGGGAUCGGGCACUGCUGUGAACUGUGCUGUAGGUUGCAGGUGCGGCUUGGAUCCAGCAUUGAAAUGACUGUGGUGUAGGCCGGCAGCUACAGGUCCGAUUAGACCCCUAGCCUGGGAGCCCUCCAUACGCUCUAGGUGUGGCCCUAAAAAGACAAAAAGACAAAAAAAUAAAAGAAAUUAAGGUGCACAUUUCAUCGGCAGGCACUUCAUCAAGCACGGUCCUGUUCCCUUUGCUGAUCAUUUCAUGCCUGUGCUUCCUGCCUUCCCAGCCAUCCUGAGACCAUCUUGAGGGUAUGGACUGCAGCUUCUAGUUCUCUGCUAAGCCCAUGGUUCUGAGCAUCACAGUGAGGGCUGGAUUCAUAUCAGCUGGUUGUCUCAGCAUCAUCUCCACCAACCUGAGGCACAGGUGCUUCUCCAGGGCAUUUUCCAAGGGGGAAAGUCCAGGAUAAAGUCCCUGACCCCAAGUCUUUAUCUUACACCUGAAAAUACCCUUUCCCCCAACAAGGACACACUCACAGGCCUCCAGCAUUAGGGCCUGACAUCUUUGGGGGAUGCUUCGCCUACUGCACCACCGCCCACCACCUCUUCUGACCUCAAACGAGUGUCCAAGGGUCCCAGAUCAGCCUCUCUGAGUCGUGCUUAUCCCUCUGAGGUACAGGAAUGACUUUUAUGGAUCCGUUGGCUUCUUCACAGAGUGGUGGUGAGGACUGAGAGGUAAUAUAUAUAUUGAAAGCAUUUUCUAAGCUGUAAAGCCCCACACAAAUGCAAGACAACAUUAUUGCACUGGGAGCGUGGCAAGUUCAACACUUGAGAAAACUAUCAGAUUUUAAAACAUGUGAGGGAAUAGGAAACCAAUGUUAUUCCAAAACCUCAUUUACACCCCACACCAAAGCCUCCCACUCUCCCUGCCUCCGCUCUCCCCUGUGGCUAUAGGGGUGUGACAGAGGCCUGUCUUGGGGGUGGCUUUGUGGCCUGAAAACAAAUCAUUCUUCACAGCUGGCUCCCCGAGUCCAAUAAGCCAGAAGGAAUUGGUAGAGAGAUUUAACGAUAUGUAUUUCAGAAAAAGAUGAAAAUGUGUCUACUUUUAGGAGAUGCAGUAAAAAUGCAUCAGCCCCACAAUAAACUUGGCAGUGAAGAUGCAUACAUAGAAGGCACACAUAUAAUGCAUCUAGGGCAGUAAUGUCUCAUUUCUAGGGAAAUCCUCUAAGAGAUCAAUUAGAAUUUGCCCCCGCCCAUGCCCUAUACACAGCCUCUGAACACGGUCCCACCCCUCCAGCUACCUCCAGCCUCUGCAGGGGGCCUGUUGGCUCAAAGCAGCUUGUUCCCCGGUCUCCCUUGGAAGUCUCUAGAAGAGAUGUGGGCUGAAACGGUUUGCAAACCAAUUACACGAGAAGUGGGAAACUGUGGCCCCCAGAUCAAACCUGGCUCAUAAAUUACAGCUUUAUUGGAUCACAGCCAUGCUGAUUCCUUCUAUGAUGGCUUUGUUGCUCUAAUAGAAGAGUUUAAUAAUUCUGAUUGAAAUCACAUGGCCUGAAAGUCUAAUAUAUAUAUUAUUGGGCCUUUACAGAAAAAGUUUGUUGACAUCCGAAUAACGCCAUUACGUGAGAGGCUGUCUUUAGGCAAAACUGCCUGUAAAACCAAGAACAGGAUGACAGCUAAUUUUUUUGAGCCCUGUUCUGUGCCACGCAUGGCAUUGUGCCCAUAGGAACAGAAUGUCCCCUUAUUUAUUCUUGCAAGCAGUCCCAUGAGGUAGUAAUGCUAGCAGUAUGGCUAGAGGAGAAAACAGGCUCAGGGAAGCUAAGCAACUUUCUCAAGGUCUCAACCUGGAAAACCGGUAGAACUGGCGUUCACACUCAUGUGCGGCUGAUUCCACCACCCUUGCUCUGGCCGCCACUCUCAAGCAUCUGGUUUCCAGAUGGGCAAUUCAGAGACCCUCUUCCAGUCUCCAGCACCUUGCACUUGUUGAGGAUCUGAUUUUCUGUAUCUAAUGUACCUGCAUCGAAUCUCCCAUCAUUCACCUGCCUGCCGUGGCCGCUCUGCUAAGGAGUGGAGAAAGGGAGCCUUCCAAGCCGUCUUCCUCCCCCUUUCCCACCCUGUGCUCCCCAUCCCUGUGCUCAGUGGAUUUUGUCCCACAUUUCUGCAGGACCCGUGUUGCCGCAGUCUCCCCCGACUGUCCCACUCCUGGGCGAGAUUCUGACUGUUCUGGAGCCUCCAGUCUGCACAGAGGGGGGUGCCAACAGAGCCCUGGGAACAGAGGCAUUUGCAUUCCACUUCCCGGGGCUGUUCUGAUCUUACCUGCAAUUCUUCUGACAAAUUCUUAUCAGCGAUGCCCAUGGCGAAGUCUGUGGUGACUUUGUUCAUUCUUAUUAGCUCUGCAGAUUAGCUCUUCACAGCGCUUGGCUGGUUCAUACCGAUUCCUGAUAAAUGUUUUGACUGAUUUUCCUGACUUGGGAGCAGUUGGGGACUGGGGCUGGGGUGGAGGCAGAAGACCGUGAGGAGAGGGGUGCUGGCGAGGGGAAGGAGAGAAAAUUGUGGCCAGGAUUACAUCUGGGCUAUAAAAUAUUCAUCACAUGCCUGCAAGAGCAGGGUCAGCACCGCUUCCCCAAGAACUGCUCCCUCCACCAGGCAGCACUUUGAAAUGCACCAGCCCGGGCAGGCUGGGAGCAGCCAGGAGAGGCUUCUGAGAGAAGGGGCCAGUGGAAGUUAAAAGGAAGGAAGAACAAACCAGCUCACUUGGGCUUUCCUGUCCUUCUCGGUCCCUCCCUUCUCACCUGCUCUUCAAGAACAGCUUUUGAUGGCAGAAUACUGAUGUUCCGGGUGGGCUUAGCUGCUCCUGUGCUGGGUUCCUCUUCUCCCUUUUGCUGCCCCAAGAAACCUUCCUGAGAAUUUCAGCCCACCCUUCCUCUCCUUUCCAAGAGGUCCUCCAGCUUCCCUCUUUGAGGACUUCAGACAGUGCUAAUAACAGCGUUCCUCACCGUCUCCUGUAUUUCCCCACCUAGACUGGACUUAGAGUCAUGCCCCUCCCAAGACUAGACACGAGGUACCCAUUUGUAACGUCAUGGCUGAAUUAAAAGAGCUCCUUCCCUUUGGCAGAGUUGGCCAGCAGGUACCACCACACCACCAGUGCUGAAGCAAGGCAGGCAUUGCCGAUCGACUUCCACACGCUUUCUUCUCAAACCAAGAUGAAGUUUUCCCCUUGUUCUUAACAAGAGGUUCCAAGCAGCCACUCCUAAUCCAAUGGAAUCAAGAAGGAAAUAAAAACCUCUUUGCUAUCCUGGUUCUUUGGUACCCCCUGUAACUUCCUUGCAAUCAGGCACUACCUUUAGAUUCUAGGAACCUGGUACUGUGGCCCCAUAUAAAAUAGGAGUUCCUGUCGUGGUGCAGUGGUUCACGAAUCUGACUAGGAGCCAUGAGGUUGCGGGUUCGGUCCCUGCCCUUGCUCAGUGGGUUAACGAUCCGGCGUUGCCAUGAGCUGCGGUGUAGGUUGCAGACGCGGCUCGGAUCCCGCGUUGCUGUGGCUCUGGCGUAGGCCAGUGGCUACAGCUCCGAUUCAACCCCUAGCCUGGGAACCUCCUUAUGCCCAGGGAAGCGGCCCAAAGAAAUAGCAAAAAGACAAAAUAAAUAAAUAAAAAUAAAUAAAUAAAUAAAUAAAUAAACCCUGCACCCACAAAAGAAAGCUAUCCAUCACUUUCCGCAGGUAUCCGGUCAAGGCUUACCCUCUAAAAAAUUCUUUCAUGUGUCUAACCCAAGACCCUACUGCAGUAGAAUUAUAUUCCUGGGCUUUUCUCCCAUGGGAGAAAAAAGUCAGAUGCUUUGAGAAGUGAUGUUCUCACUCACUGCUCUUUCCCACUGCCCGGAAGUUUAAACUCUGGUGCCCAAGCACCUCACUCUGGAAAAACUCGACUCAUGCCAGCCCCAUGCCUGCUCGUGCCAGCUCCCUGGAAAAUGACCCACACCCCCGAAACUAGAAAGAGGCCUGGAGACUCUUGAAGGUCCUCUCUUGCCGCAGCCAAGUUUACUCAUUAGCCUUUCACCAGAUUUAUCUUCUCCCUGGUAGCCUGCAGCGCUUUGAUUUGUCCUGCUGUCACCAGGACUAAUGUUGAUGGCGGCACCCCCCCGGGGGCGUCAGGCUCUCCAGCCUCCUGCCAGAGCCCUCGAGGAAAAUGGAUGAGCAACUGACCCGCAAAAUAAAUACCAGACUUCCAGGUUCUGAUAAAGAUUAAAUAUUGGAGGAGUCAUUUCAAAUGAAUAUAUAAAAGCACAUGGAAGAAGCCUUUUAGACUCCGGCAGAGUGACAUACAGGCAAACAAAGAGAGAUGUCUUUGGGGAAGUUCAGUGGCAGGGAAGUUGGAGGCUCCGAAUGCAAUCUGCCCACAAAUACCCCAGCUGCAGAAAGGAUUCCAAAACAGUCAUCCCUCCCUUUCCCUCCACCCUCCCCACCCAGAUCGUGAAGAAGAGAAAGUGCUAAGCUCCAAAAGCCGCGUGCCAGCAUGAUGCUGAAGUCAGCUCUGGCCCAUCCAACCAAGGGAGAAGCCCCAUUACUCAACACCAUCUGCCUUGGGCGUGGAGCAGCCAAGAGCUAGGAUUACGGGCGGGGAUGGGGCUCUGAGGCCCCAAAGGAGAGAGUUACUGGGGAAGAGCAAGGUCAGGCAUCUCUGAGACAGAACGGGGAGGCGGGAGAGAAGCCAGAUGUCAGCAGAUGGAGCCAGUGUUCCUUGAGCCUGGGGCAGAAUGUGGUUUCUGGUCCGAAACAUGUGCAGAUUGAUUGCACAUCCAGAAACGCCCAAUAACCAGAAUCCCAGGAUCCUGUCUCUAGAAUCAAAUGUUGGAGUUCUCUGGAUCAAAGUUCAAGUGCAGUUAGCAUGGAGAUGGAAGGGGAGAGAGGCAGCCUUGAUUUACCUGGUGCCUGCAGUGCUGGGCCACUUACUCCUCCUGACCGUCCUGGGAGAUGGGCACCGGCAUCCAUUCCUUACAGAAAGGAGGCUGAGGCUGCAGCGAACGGAUGGCCACGAGGCUGGCGUUCGUCCCGCUGCCACAUGCUCAGUUCUCCAUCUCAGUCUGGAAGGCAGAGUCUUGGUGGUGGUCCAGGGACAGCUGUCCAAAUUCCUCAGAACCGGGCUCAGUAUCCAGGUCCCUCC